UCAUCAUUAGCAGCCGCGAUCCCGUGUUCGAGCCAGCGCGUGGGCCGGAGCACGCGUUGUUCCAGCCGGGCCUUGGCCAGGAUCAACGAGCGGUCGAUGCAAAAGCUCCACCCAUCAUGAAGAUGUGUUCGACCAUGGAGUGAAAAGCAACUGUGUCCCGGCCUCCCAUGGCUUCGCGGAACCGCAGAAGAUAUCGAAGGGCAGGCUUGCCAUUCGGGGGCGCCCCAUCCCAACCCUCGUUCCACCACGGAAUGAGUGGAGGGGGGGACGAUUACCCUGAAUGGCAAGACCUGCGACAGAAACUGAACUUCAUCAGGAGCCACCGACAAGAGCAGUCGCAGCACAGACCGGCAGAUUCCCCCGAUACACAGCUUGGCUCUAGUAAAACAAGUGCUCAUGGCUUGGAGGAACCACGUGGGCCAGAAAUACAAGUCCCAAUUGUAAGAAAACGCACACGGAUUACAAGCGAGGAGGAGUCAAAAAACAGAGAGAACGAUACCACAGAGAGUAAAACUGCUCAUCAAAUAAACACACGUGAAGAGCAACACGGCGCAGUUGGCAAGAUCUGGCACAGCAGCGUGAUGACAGACUCUUGUAAUAACCUGAUCAUGGGCAAGACCAUGGAGAGCCACCAGUCACCGCACAUGCAUCAUGAACUUCUACUCACCAAAGACAACCUCCACGGAAGGUUGAGUAGGGCUAAAGCACCAUAUUUCCGUGGCUCGGAAGAACGACAAACAUCAAUGAUCAAUACGCAAGUGGCAAAAAAGCAUCCUCUGUCUAAGAGCGAGGGCGAUUCUGAAUGCGUGGUGAGCGACAAUGAAGAGGAAGAAAUUUUUCAUCAACCGCGCACGGAUGAACACCGCCGCAACAUCGUCUGCAAAACCUGGAACAAGGACCUAAUCGCAAAGCCUGAUCAUGACCUGACCGCCUUUCAUUAUCGACGGCCUUCCCUAUACACGGAUACUGCGGACGACGCGCCAGAUUACAUGAAUGUGAAGCACGAAACGUGCCACAACGACCCUCAACACAGCAAGGCGGCCAAGCGCCCGCGCAUCGACACCACUGGCCUCAAAAAGGAGGAACUCGAAAGACAGAAGGAAGUCACAGAACCCCAAGACAAAAACGAGUAUUGUCUGCGAUGGCUUCAGUGGGGCGUCGGAAGGGCAGAGGCAGAAGACGUGGACUUACCCCACGACCAGGGCAGCCACACUCCGAGGAGGCGCCGCAGGAGCGCGCAGGCGAUGGUCUCGGACUGCCGCCACGAUCAGUGGCGGAUCGACGACGAAAUGGGCGCCGAUGCGGAGAGUAGCAGCAGCGAGCACGAACCAAAAAGGCAAAAACUGCAAAGUCCGGACCAUUUCUGUGCUCAACCGCAGGAUAGACCCUCUUCCGAGGCUCGAUCUGAGGACCAGCAGGUACUACAAGAGUUGCUGGAACGUUUCAAGAGGCUUUGCAAGCCACCUUAACACCGACCGUCGCUGCCGCGUGGACGCCGGUGCACGCUUGUUGCCCUUAAGCUUGCCAGUGACACUGCCCCACGUGAUACAGCAUGCCUUUGUCUAGUGCUGACAAUUCCGCGAGAACUCGAAGAUGUCUGAGAACUUCUUCUUCUAUAACUGAACAAAAAUAAAGUCGUCCAGUGAUUACAUUGGU